rnacentral:rRNA from 1 species
CAGCAGCCGCGGUAAUACGAAGGGUGCAAGCGUUACUCGGAAUUACUGGGCGUAAAGCGUGCGUAGGUGGUGGUUUAAGUCCGUUGUGAAAGCCCUGGGCUCAACCUGGGAAUUGCAGUGGAUACUGGGUCACUAGAGUGUGGUAGAGGAUAGUGGAAUUCCCGGUGUAGCGGUGAAAUUCGUAGAUAUUCGGAAGAACACCAGUGGCGAAGGCGACACACUGGCCCGUUACUGACGCUGAUGCGCGAAAGCGUGGGGAGCAAACAGGAUUAGAGACCCCUGUAGUCCCUGUCUCUUAUAC